ACGCACGCUGGCGGCGUGCCUCAUCCCUGCCAGUAGAACGCUGAAGAGAGGAGCUUGCUCUUCUUGGAUGAGUUGCGAACGGGUGAGUAACGCGUAGGUAACCUGCCUUGUAGCGGGGGAUAACUAUUGGAAACGAUAGCUAAUACCGCAUAACAAUGGAUGACACAUGUCAUUUAUUUGAAAGGGGCAAUUGCUCCACUACAAGAUGGACCUGCGUUGUAUUAGCUAGUAGGUGAGGUAACGGCUCACCUAGGCGACGAUACAUAGCCGACCUGAGAGGGUGAUCGGCCACACUGGGACUGAGACACGGCCCAGACUCCUACGGGAGGCAGCAGUAGGGAAUCUUCGGCAAUGGGGGCAACCCUGACCGAGCAACGCCGCGUGAGUGAAGAAGGUUUUCGGAUCGUAAAGCUCUGUUGUAAGUCAAGAACGAGUGUGAGAGUGGAAAGUUCACACUGUGACGGUAGCUUACCAGAAAGGGACGGCUAACUACGUG
rnacentral:rRNA from 1 species